rnacentral:snRNA from 1 species
AUGCCUUAAACUUAUGAGUAAGGAAAAUAACGACCCGGGGUGACGCCCGGGUCCUCACUGCCAAUGUGAGAUGAAUUUUUGCGCGGGUACAGGUCGCCCCAGGGUGGCCCGCUUACUUCGCGGGAUGCCCGGGAGCUGCGAUUUGCCCG